rnacentral:rRNA from 1 species
AGCGAACGCUGGCGGCAUGCUUAACACAUGCAAGUCGCACGGAUCUUUCGGGAUCAGUGGCGGACGGGUGAGUAACGCGUAGGGAUCUAUCCAUGGGUGGGGGACAACUCCGGGAAACUGGAGCUAAUACCGCAUGAUACCUGAGGGUCAAAGGCGCAAGUCGCCUGUGGAGGAACCUGCGUUCGAUUAGCUAGUUGGUGGGGUAAAGGCCUACCAAGGCGAUGAUCGAUAGCUGGUCUGAGAGGAUGAUCAGCCACACUGGGACUGAGACACGGCCCAGACUCCUACGCGAGGCAGGAGUGGGGAAUAUUGGAAUAUGGGCGCAAGGCUGAUGCAGCAAUGCCGCGUGUGUGAAGAAGGUCUUCGGAUUGUAAAGCACUUUCGACGGGGACGAUGAUGACGGUACCCGAAGAAGAAGCCCCGGCUAACUUCGUG